rnacentral:rRNA from 1 species
AUAUCAAUAAGCGGAGGAAAAGAAACUAACAAGGAUUCCCCUAGUAACUGCGAGUGAAGAGGGAAAAGCUCAAAUUUAAAAUCUGUCUGCCUUGCUGCAGUCCGAGUUGUAGUUUAGAGAAGUGCUAUCCGCGUUGGCUUGUGCAAAAGUUUCUUGGAAAAGAACAUCAUAGAGGGUGACAAUCCCGUCUUUGGCACAGAUCACCAGGGCUUUUGUGAUACGCUCUCGACGAGUCGCGUUGUUUGGGAAUGCAGCGCUAAAUGGGUGGUAAAUUCCAUCUAAAGCUAAAUAUUGGCGAGAAACCGAUAGCGAACAAGUACCGUGAGGGAAAGAUGAAAAGGACUUUGAAAAGAGAGUUAAACAGUAC